GUUAGACUUGUGUCUGGACCGGCGGUGUGUUGGAAAGUGCAAAAAACAGAUAUAAGAGAUGCACUUCGUAGACAAAGGAAACAACGUAUUGUUUCCUCAGAAGUUGUUGGGCUUUUGUUCUCGGUGGGAUUUAAGAGUGGACAGGAGAUGGACGUGUCUGCCUGACACUGCUCUCCCCCCCCACCUCCACUGUCUCCAGCCCCCACCCUGGCGCGCACCCCUUCGAGAAAACCAGCAGAAGAAGGAGGGAGGAGGGCAGAGGGGACUCUUGAAGAAGACUCUGCAAAGAUAGAAAAAAAAGAGAGACAGCGAGGGGAGCGAGAAGAAGAAGAAGAGGGGAGGUGGACAGCGCUGUUCCAGCUAUCCAAAGGGCUGACAUCGAGGAGAGGAAAGUAACCACCAGGAAAAAAAAGAAAAGAAACUUUUGCAGUCUCGCCACUGAGAUGAUGAUCAGGGAGGGGAGGCUGGAUGUUCGAAGGGGAACGACAGCUCUAAAAUUGGACGGCAGGGCAGAUGAGGGAGCCUCGCUCUGGAUGAUCGCUCCACCGUGCCCCACCACAGCCCAAGGAUGAGGAGGUCAGGCUCUCAUCAGCUCACCGGCCGGGGCUGUCGGAACGCCUCCCUGAGGAGUCCCCCUCCAGCACGCUCUUCCUGAUGCUUUAUAAGAGUGGUGUGAGAUUUAAGCUGCAGACCUUUGCCGGGAAAAUGGUAAACACCGUCUACAGGGACGAGGAAAGUGGCAUCCAAGACCGGGAGGGCAAGGAGGAAUCCAUCUUGGCCCUUCUGGGCAUCGUGGGCACCAUCCUCAACUUGGCGGUCAUCAUCUUCGUCUACCUGUACACUACGCUGUAGAUCUCCCGGUCCACACCCCUGGACCCCACUAUUAAUUAAAGCCCCCCCCCCCCCCUCCCAUGGUUUUCAUCUCUUCAGACUCUUCUUUUGUCAGUAUCUUUUACGGCACUGGCUCUUAGAAUGACCCUGGGACCAGCGCCUGAGAUGUUGGGCUUCCCCCGCGGCACGCGCGAGCUGAGACUACGUGAACGCCAUGUGGCGUGCAUCCACCUGCGCGGUUCCCAACGUGGGGUCUCGAGACUACCGGAGAGGGGGCUGGCAUUCCCGAUGGCUCCGUCGCCAGCCAAGAAUGCAUAUUGUAGAAUAUUGCUGGCUCGCUGUUUGAUUUCUACAUGACUGACGGAAGGAGAGAGAGAGCUUGGUUCUCCCGCCACAAACAAAACCCAGCUUUCACCAAGGUCCCGGCGAACCAGGAAUGGCGGGGAAAAACAGCUUGAUAGCUGUUGCUAUGGCAGCACGCGUUUGGCAGUGGUUGGACUCAAUAUGAGGAAAUUUAUAGUAUUUAAAGGUUAUGUAUGUUUUUCUGGAGGAAUUAAUCCAAAAGUUCUAAAUUACUGUUAAUAGCCAAAUUACCAUUUAUUAUGCUAUAAUACACACAACUAGUUUGAUGUAUUAUUUACUAUACAUUUUUUUUUCUCUCAUGAUCAUAUAUGAAUAUUUGCAGGAUUGAUAUUGUCUGGACAAAUGUUAAGACAGUUUUCUUCCAUUUGGUCACAAUAGAAUCAUUAAUAUUAUUUUAAUGGCAGGCCUUAUUUUCUUAUAAUGGUACUGGGAAAAAAGUGCUGAGACUUAUUGCGAUGAAGACGUGAUAUGAGACAGAAUCCGAAGUUUCAAGUUGCAUGAGCGUAUUAACAUGUUAUUUUGUAAAUAUAAUUGUAUUUAGCUAAUCAUGGUCAUAUGAUUUAUUUUAAUUUGAUUAAAUUCAUUUUGGAAGGUGUAUUGAUAUUUAAAGACUUUGCAUUGUGGAUGUUUGCCUUAACAUUACAGGAAAUGUAUGUUUCCAAUAUGUGUACAAUUAUCAGGUUAAAACGACUUAAAGAAGGGUUUCUCUUAAGUAAAUGGCUCCGUAAAGUUUUCAACUUUCUGUCUUGAUAAACAAAUAUGUCUUGAUAAGUGACAUUAGCCUAUAACCAAAUGAGAAAGUACGGUAGUGGGAAUUAGCCUACAUAGAAGACCGACAUAGCGUAUUCACCACUUUUUCUUUCGUCUGUUGAAAGUCUAUAAUUUAACAACCCCAUGAUUUGAGAAAGUGCCUGAGAUCACAGUGUCUCAAAUUCACCUUUCGAAGAUGAAGUAGAAAAGCAUGCAAAUUGUUCUAGUCAAUCAUUGCUUUUCUAAUAUUAUGUCACUCACCAAGCAUCUAUUUCAAAUUGAAAGUCUCUCAAUUUCAUGUUUUUUGGAAAUGUUUGGUCUACUCAAUAUACCUUUGUCAGUGAAAUAUUAAAUCCCAAAUUAUAUACAAAUUACAAGGUAAAAGAAAGCUUUAUAAGCAAAGUCUUGCACAUCUAUUCAGACUUUGAUGUGAGGCUAUUAAGCCAACUUUAAUAAUUGUUUAACUUAUCCUUACAGAGCUCGUCACUCAAGUGUUUAGAUAUGGAAUUGAUGUGUAUUCUGGAUCUCUUUCAACUGAAUAGUUUAACGGAAUUACUCGAAUGUUGUCCGAUCUUUCGACCUUUUAUGUCCUUGGUAUGAAUCGUUUUUUCAAGAGAAUUACAAAAUAAAUGCUUUUGGGCAGAUCAAAUAUAUAA